GGAGCGGUCCCGACAGCGACCUGGAGAGAUUUACGGGAAGACCGGGACGACUAAGACGGUUUGCCCGAAGCCUUUCUGCGCAGGUCCGGGAAGUGAUGGCUGCGAGGCCGAGACCGGGGGACUUUGUCCUUGAUGAGGCAGAGUGCGAUUCCUCCGUGUCUGAACUGUUCAGCCGUACGGGAUCGGACCCAGAGUCCAGUCCACGUCAGGAUGCAUCAUCGUCGGUG